rnacentral:rRNA from 1 species
AUUGAACGCUGGCGGCAUGCCUUACACAUGCAAGUCGAACGGUAACGGGCCUUCGGGCGCCGACGAGUGGCGAACGGGUGAGUAAUGCAUCGGAACGUACCUUUCAGUGGGGGAUAACGUAGCGAAAGUUACGCUAAUACCGCAUAUUCUGUGAGCAGGAAAGCAGGGGAUCGCAAGACCUUGCGCUGAUUGAGCGGCUGAUGUCAGAUUAGCUAGUUGGUGAGGUAAAGGCUCACCAAGGCGACGAUCUGUAGCGGGUCUGAGAGGAUGAUCAGCCACACGGGAACUGAGACACGGUCCAGACUCCUACGGGAGGCAGCAGUGGGGAAUUUUGGACAAUGGGGGCAACCCUGAUCCAGCCAUGCCGCGUGAGUGAAGAAGGCCUUCGGGUUGUAAAGCUCUUUCGGCCGGGAAGAAAUCGUAUGGGCUAAUACCCUGUGCGGAUGACGGUACCGGCAUAAGAAGCACCGGCUAACUACGUGCCAGCCGCCGCCGUAACAC